rnacentral:rRNA from 1 species
UACAGAGGGGGCGAGCGUUGUUCGGAAUUACUGGGCGUAAAGGGCGCGUAGGCGGCCCCUUAAGUCGGACGUGAAAUCCCUCGGCUCAACCGGGGAACUGCGUCUGAUACUGGGGGGCUGGAGUUCGGGAGAGGGAUGUGGAAUUCCAGGUGUAGCGGUGAAAUGCGUAGAUAUCUGGAGGAACACCGGUGGCGAAGGCGGCAUCCUGGACCGACACUGACGCUGAGGCGCGAAAGCCAGGGGAG